rnacentral:rRNA from 1 species
CCUACGGGAGGCAGCAGUGGGGAAUAUUGGGCAAUGGGCGCAAGCCUGACCCAGCAACGCCGCGUGAAGGAAGAAGGCUUUCGGGUUGUUAACUUCUUUUGUCAGGGACGAAGCAAGUGACGGUACCUGACGAAUAAGCCACGGCUAACUACGUGCCAGCAGCCGCGGUAAUACGUAGGUGGCAAGCGUUAUCCGGAUUUACUGGGUGUAAAGGGCGUGUAGGCGGGGAAGCAAGUCAGAUGUGAAAACCACGGGCUAAACCUGUGGCCUGCAUUUGAAACUGUUUUUCUUGAGUGCUGGAGAGGCAAUCGGAAUUCCGGGUGUAGCGGUGAAAUGCGUAGAUAUACGGAGGAACACCAGUGGCGAAGGCGGAUUGCUGGACAGUAACUGACGCUGAGGCGCGAAAGCGUGGGGAGCAAACAGGAUUAGAUACCCUAGUAGUC